UUCGACCCCCUAGACUAUAUAUACUCUUUCUCCUCCAUCUUUCUAGGGUUAGCAAAGGAUUAGCUCAUAUGUGAGAUAGAGCUUUGCUCAUCCAUUACGGAUCUACUCCACGAGAGAGACCGCGGCCCCUCUACGGAGAAGAUCCACCUUGGAUUCAAGACCUCCUCACGGAGAAGACCUCCAUCAAGACCUCCUUACGGAGAAGAACCGGUUACCUUUGUAUCGUCCUUUGUUGGAUUUGGAUCUUGUAUCUUACCUUUGUGUUCAUCGAUCUAGCGCAUGUGUGAUCUAUUCUUGUUGGUUGAGUGAUUUCUCUCGUGUUCCCCUCGUGUUUCCCUCGUGUUUCCCCUCGUGUUCAUCAUGUUCUUCGUAGGGAUCCGCUCCUUUCGUGAAAGAUCGGCCAUCUAGGGUUCCACCCUGCAUCAUGUUGGUAUCAUGAGCCACGUUGAUCACGAUUUCGGAGCCUCCCCGUUGUGUUUUCUAGCCUAGUUUUGUUGAUUUUGUCCCAAAAUUCGAAAAUCCCCACCAAAAAAUAGCCCCUAAUUUUUUUUAUGAUUUGUUGGUUUGAUGAUGUUUUGUUGAAUUUGAUCCGUGGAUUUGCUUUGUUACUUGUGGAUCUAGCUUUCCCCCAAUUUUCCCCACUUUCCAUCCACGAAAUCUCUCCAAUUUUGCCCCCGAAAUCAUCAAUUUCCGCCCCCAAAAUUGAGUUCCUCGAGUUCAUCCUCGGAUUUGGAGCCCGGACAUCCGGCCCGUAGCCCCGGACAUAUGCCCCCCCCGGACAUCCGGCCCGUGCCCCGGACAUCCGGCUCCUGGAGCGCAUUUUCGCGCAAGGUUCUGGACAUCAGGUCCCGGAAAUCCGGCCAAAUCCCCGGAUGUCCGACCCCUGUACAUUUCAGCUUUUCCGUUUCACCGUUUUGUGCAUAACUUCCACAUCCGGAGUCCGAUUUUCGCGUUCUUUAGCUCGUUGAGUAGCUAUUGACAUCCUCUAUCCACCUAGAUAGGUCCCAUCCCCAUUUGACUCCAUCAAAUUUUGACAACUUUGGCAUCUUUGCCUAGGGCUUCCACCAUAACUUCCGCAUAACCACCACCGACUUCCGCAACCUAACCAAUUUUGUUCCCCAUAGCAUUUGUGGUUGUUUGAGUUGUGAUUCGAGUCUCCUAAGGUGUUUCGGCUACUUAGGGACGGUUGCUUCUUCAUCAACCACCACCAUAACUUCCGCAUAGGCUUACCCACAAUACACUUCCGCCAACCCCAACUUAACCCAAUUUUGUUUGUGUUGUGAGUUGUGUCUCCUAAGGUGUUUCGGCUACUUAGGGACCGUGCUUCCAACCCCGAUACCGCGUAUAGUUCACCACCUUACCCUCCACUUCCGCAUUGCCUACUCGCAAAAACCCCAUCAUUGCAUUUCCGCAAUCCCUUUGAGUUCCCGCUACCACCGUUUUGACUUUUGUCCUUGAGAUUUUGAGUUGUGGUUUUUCCGUUUCCUAAGGUGUUUCGGCUACUUAGGGACGAGUCUCCAUCAUCUUGGUAUCUACAUAAAGAACACCGCCACUCAUCAUCGCCAAGGAUGGUAACCUCGACGACACCAUUGUAUAUUCCCCUUGCAAUUGCAUUGAUAACCCCUAGCCCAUUUUGCGUCACUUGCCUAUCGAGACUAGCCAUUUGAGUAUUGCCGGCAACGUUACUUGUGCACAUUAGUGAUCAUACUUCCCAUAGCAUACAUACCAUACCAUAUUGGUAUCAUAUCAUCUCUUGUGUCACAAGUUUGUUCCCGCAUACACACUAUUGCUAUCUUGGUUUGUGCAUUUUGCAAAGUGGCCAUACAUACAAAAAAAUAAUAAGCUUUUAAGCAAAAGAGAAGAGCAAAGAAGCUUGUAAGCAAGUGCCAUAGCAUCAUACCACAUUGCAUAUAAGAUUGUCAUAUCCGAUCAUCUUGGAUCAUCUUGAGAGAAACACCGGGAACCAUACAUACAUAGCAUACUUGGGAUAGAAGUUUAUCCAUUUUGCAUAUCAUAGGUUGUGCACAAGUGUCGUAUCCGCCUAUUGAGCAAUCGUGCUAGCGCCUCUCUUGAUUUGUGCAACGUGCUCAUUCCUUGGUUGCACGACCCCAUUUAUCUAUCCGUGUGUGUGUUUCCGUGUGCCAUUCUUUGCCAUUGGUCUACUUGUUUCACUUGCGAAUUUGUGAAUCUUUUUCAACAUUAUUGACUCUUGCUAACAUUUUGCAUCAAAUAUUUUGUGCCACUAUCCUCACCGAGCUCCACUAUAAGCCUUACUUGUGUAGGUGUGAGAAACCGACAAGAAUUGGUACCAAUUGUGCUAUUUCCUUGUUACACAUUGAGUGAUCAUUGAUCCAUCUUCAACAUCGGUCAAGGUACAUUUGGUAUCGUUCUUCUCUUUCUCCCACUAAUAUUUGCUCGAGUCUUGUGAUGGAUAGGCAAGGUAUUUCACCUUCAGUCUACAACAACAACGACAAGUUCGAUGCCACGAACAACAACUUCGACGCCAAGAUGCAAGCUCAAAUGGAGGAGAUCCAAUCCCAUCAAAUACUACAAGCGAUCUUCCUCAUCUUCGAGAAGACUCUCAAGAGCACAUGCCUCCGAGCUACCAUCUCCGGCAAGGUCACAUCGGCAUCGACACCAUCACCACCACGAACGUGAAGGUCAAGAGCUCAAUACCAACAACCGCUCAACGACUUCACCAUCUCCCUUGGCAUCUUCGCCAAGUGACUUCAAGGCAUCUUCGCCUUCGGAUAUACGGCAUCUUCGCCAACAAGCACCUCAAGACUACGCUUAAGAGAAGCUCCCCAAGCUCAAGUCCGCGACCUCCACGAGCUACUACGACCUCGACACCGACCAUAAGAUUCCUUUCUAUGGGACUCAAGAACCCGAGGAGUAUCUCGAGUGGGAGCACCUAAUGGACGACUACCUCAAGCUACAUCUAGUUCCUCCCGAAGAUCAAGUGAAGUGCGCCACAAGAAACUUCCACGACUACGCCUCGACAUGGUGGCUCCACACACCUUCGGAAACCUACGACAUGAGUUGGCCCAAGACGAAGAAAGCUUUGCGGCGAGAAUUUGUGCCUCCAACCUACACGGAACAACUUCUACGCCAAUUGGAGAACACCAACCAAGGAUCCAAGUCCAUCGACGAGUACUUCAAGGAGAUGAAAAAAUCCUUGCGACGAGCCGGCGUGGACGACCCCAUGUCAAUGAAGUUCCACUUCAUGAUGGGAUUGAACAAUGCCAUCUCCAAGACUAUCUUCCUCGAGAACUACAAGUCCCUCGACGACAACUACAUUGGCGCUCUCAAGGCGGAACAAGAACUCAUGAAGACCAAGGCUUCUCCACCCCAAGCACACUUCUCGAAGACCAAGCUCAAAGACGACGAGCAUGAGGCUAGUACCACCAAGAUGUCCAAGCCCGACGAGCUCCAAGACGAUGCUCCCAAGUUCGACUUCACCGCCUUCCCUCUUUGUGGCAUUGAUGAUGCCGAGUCCUCCACGACUCUUUUUCAAGAUGGUGCGGCGACGAGUACGACUACGGAGACCUUCAAGGACCAAGCUUUUGAGGCAAGCGACAUGGUGACGAGCAAGGAUGAUGCUUCCAUCUUAGGAGGCGAGAGUGAUGAUGUGCCAUCUUCGGCUUUCAUCCACGACGACGGCGAUGAGAUGGUUGAGUAUUUCACUUCGACCACGGCGACGUAUGAUGACUUGAGUGACUUGUGCCACCAUAUUGAGAGUGAGAGUGACUUCACCACUAGCCCCAUAUCCGAUGUGUUGCCCCAAUUCCCAUGUGAGGAGAGCCACAACCCCCACCACUUGAGUGAGAUGAGUGACUCCACCAUACGUGCGAUUGAGUGCACCUACUUUGAGGGAGUGAGUGAACCACCACAUAGAGAGAGUGAGGCCACUUCGAUUUCUAACGACUUAACCUCUACCUCUAUUGUGUCUUCUCAUUUGGUGCUAGGUCUCAUUUGUGAUGACGCGCCGAUUCACGACGACUUCGUCCUUCCUAUGGACAUGACGAUGGCCAUGGUGGAAUAUGAUGCACCCCCCACAUGGUUCCAUCAAGAUGAAGAUGACCACCAUUUGGUCUUUCCCACCUCACCUACACCACUUGAUUGGAAUGACAAAGGUAACAUAGGUGACGGUGAUGCUCUAGUCCCACUAGUGGACAUUCUUGACAUUGAUUGCUUGCAUGAUGUUGAUCCACCUAUUACCUUGCUUCAUGCUAGUGAGAUUUCCCCAUGGGAUGAUUUACCCAUUUAUGAUGAGUAUGAUGAUUGCCAUGUGGAGUCUAUUAGUUGUGAUGCCAUGUUACAUAGGAUUUCUUGUGACAAUUCUUUAGGUCACAUCAUGUUUGACAGUCCGCUUGACUUGUCAUAUGCUAUGCAUGAGAUCAAUCAUAUGUCAUAUUUGCAAUCUCUUCGUAGUGACUAUGCAUAUGCCAGUAAAAUUAACCCAAUUUGCACAUAUGGCAUAGAUGACAAGCCCAUGGUUAUUGGCAUUUGUUUUUCUUGUGACGAUAUUGACAUGCCCCCUUUGCAUCAUUUAUCUCAUAUGCCAUGCCAUGACCACCUAGCUUCGGAUAUGCAUUGUUGUGGAUGUUGUCCAUUUUCUCCAUAUGAUUACAAUAUUGCUCAUGAGGAGACCCCCAUAGUUUCCUCAUACAUUUUAGGAGAUUUUGAUCCAUCCUAUCCAUUGCAUGAUCCCAAUAAUUAUGUGCACAAUAUGCUCCCCAUGAAUCAUAAUGAUAUUGUUGUGCCAUAUACUAGUAUGCUCAAUUAGCAUCCCCAUCGUGUCAUACAUAACAACUAUUCUUUCAUGAUGGAUGACAUGUUCUUAUACCAUGCAUCAAAUUUCUUUGAGCGAUGCUUAUCUUGUGCUAACACUCACUUGCACAUACACAUCAUGAUGGAUGAUGUGUACAUUUACCACGCGCACAAUUUCUUUGGUUUGUGUCUCUUUUGUGUAGGUACCCAUGAAUACUUGUCAACCUCGCAAUCCCACGAGUUGACAAAACGAGCUCUAGAGAGCAAUGAUGACUUGGGAUCCCAUGGAUUGCCUUUCCCACCGCUCACUUCGCGCAAACACUUCACGCAUUUCUUUUAUAUGGCCCUCACAUGGUUAUGGGUUGUUGUCCAUUAUAUAUCCUUUGCCCAUCUUGCCAUGUUCACUUUGCAUGAUAUGCCCAUUACUAUGCCUUUGCCAUGCAUUUGUGACCCAUGCUUUGCAUUACACAUGAUGAUUGAUUCUAGUACUUGUAUGUGUAUUUGCAAGCGUGGUGGAGAUAUUGUUUGUUAUUGCCAUGAUUGCUUUGUGCCCCAUGCCUAUGAUGAUACUAUGAUCUUGAUUUGUAUUCGUGCUUGCGAUAUGUCAUGUACAUUGCCUAUGCCUAUUCUUUACUCACAUGGCAUGAUUGCCAUGAUUCCCUCUAGUGUGUUGCAUCUUCGCUCCACUAGUUUGCACGACUUGAUUACUAUUGCUUGCCUUGUUGCAUCACCAAUGAUUGAUACUUGCUCAUUUCAUUCGGUUGAUGACAACCACCUACAUGCUUUGCACAUGAUUGUUAUUGCUUCUUGUCAUAUCUCUCCAUAUAUUGCCUCUAUCAUGAUAGAUGAUUUGACAUGUAUUGAGUGCAACAAUGCCCUUAGUCUUGAUAAUGAGUUUGCCCCCAUAGCAUUCUCACAUAUAUUUGGAGAUUUUGAUAUAUUUCUUGUGAAGCAUGCUUGCCUUACCUCUUUGCACCAUAUUCCUCGUGCCAUGAAUAUAGCCAUUAUUGCAUCAUAUUAUUCAUGCACUUGUGUUUCUAAUGGCUAUGUGCAAGAGAAGAAAACCAUCAUGAUGGAUGAUGUGUUUAUCUACCAUGCGCAUACGUUCUUUGUUUUGUUGUAUGCAUGUGUAGGAUACUUGGACUUUGUGUCGACUUCCGCUUCACGUGAGUUGACCAUUCGAGCUCUUGAGAGCGAGCCUCAUACAUUCGACCACGACUCGUUUCUACGCCACCUUUCCUACCACUUCGGCAUUGUGAAGAAUGCACAAGGACACACCAUCACGGUGAUAUCUUUCUUGAGCAUGGAUAUUGCGGAUCAUACUACUUGUGUUGCUUGCACCAUGAGACUUAUUGUUCAUCUUGGACCACUUGAUUGCACACUUGAUAGAGAUCUUGCUUCGACUUGUCAUUUUCACCGUCCCAUGCAUCAUGAUAUAUAUGCCUUGUGUGUUGCAUCCAAUUCUUGGAUUACUUGCUCCUCUCAUAUGUUUGGUUGCAACAAUGUCAUCCCUUCACAUAUGCCAUGUCCCAUUGCUUGUCACAUGAUUGACUUGAUUGCCUCACACAUGAAGAACAAUUGCUCUUUUUAUUGUGUUGAGUGCCACACUAUGUUCACUACACCCAAUGCACAUUAUGCUUGGAUUGUCCUGCACUUAACCCAUGUGUUUAGACAUCUCAUCUUCUUAGGUGUCGUGAAUGAUUCCUAUGCCUACCAUAGACCUUUCAUUGAGCGCUUUGCCCAUGCUUGCUAUGAACCUGAGGUAGAUGCUUAUUCUCUUGACACACAUAUUUGCAUCUCUACCUUCAAUUUACAUGCUUGCCCCCAUGAUAUCUUUGCUUGUGCUCGAUUGAUAUACUUACAUGCCAUGUCUCAAUCCUUUGUCACACCAUAUGCUUUGCAUGAUGACGACACUUGUUUGGUGAAUCACCUCUUGAAUGCUUGGUUUUGCACUAACGCUAACCACAUUUGUUUUUCCAAGUGUUUGUUGUCCUUACUCCUUUUGAAGGAAUCACAAAACGGUGCGACAUUGGAGAGUUCCCAUUUCGAGCUUCAAGAUGACACGUACUUGGUGAACGUCCACUUCUACACGGCGAAGCCAUCUCUAUUCCAUGGUGAUUUGGUUUUCGAUCCGAGGUCGGAUCUUUCCCAAGGGAGGGGAGAUGAUGCGGAGCAUCCUAUGGACAUCACCAUAUCAAGAGUCUAUUCGGCGAGUGACACGUGCGACAUCUACUUCACAUACGCAAAGGUGAAUCAUCUCCUUUACACGUGCUCACUUGACCCCUUCGAGGAUGGUAUACUACUUGACACUCCACUCGUGUGCAUGCAUAGGUAUUGUCGGAACACUACGGACGACGAGGAGGAGUGCAAGCGCCAAGGUACAACUACACCAUCCGCGAGGGAGGCCUGGAAGCGACGACGGAAGAAGACGGAGCUGCUGAAGCUACAGCGGCCGGACAUCCGGGCCAAAGGCCGGACAUCCGGCGCCUGUGCAGCCGCCAAGGAGCUGCACCAACACACGGCCAACAGCAUCAGCGGCCGGACAUCUGGCGCCAGCCCCGGACAUCCGGCGCCUCGCCAAAGCCCGGACAUCCUGCCCUUCCCCCGGAAAUCCGGCAUCGACGAUAGAAGACAUCCAAAAGUUUUACCCCCAGCCCGGACAUCCGGCCCCCAGCCCGGACAUCCGGCCCCUCCUGAAGCCCCGGACAUCCGGCCCGUCGCCCGGACAUCUGGCCACCCCUGUCUGCGCACAGUAAGGGCCGAGGCCCGUGUACCCUUCGACCCCCUAGACUAUAUAUACUCUUUCUCCUCCAUCUUUCUAGGGUUAGCAAAGGAUUAGCUCAUAUGUGAGAUAGAGCUUUGGUCAUCCAUUACGGAUCUACUCCACGAGAGAGACCGCGGCCCCUCUACGGAGAAGAUCCACCUUGGAUUCAAGACCUCCGCACGGAGAAGACCCCCAUCAAGACCUCCUUACGGAGAAGAACCGGUUACCUUUGUAUCGUCCUUUGUUGGAUUUGGAUCUUGUAUCUUACCUUUGUGUUCAUCGAUCUAGCGCAUGUGUGAUCUAUUCUUGUUGGUUGAGUGAUUUCUCUCGUGUUCCCCUCGUGUUUCCCUCGUGUUUCCCCUC
rnacentral:lncRNA from 1 species